CCGUGCUUCGGCAGGCAGCCCUGUGGGACAGAGCCUCGCCCCCCUCGGGGGGUGCCUGCCGCUGGCCAACCAUACAUUCCAGUCAUUUGAGUACCAUCUGAGUCUUCCACAAAUGAACAAAACUUUCAACAACGGAUCUCUUGGUUCUGGCAUCGAUGAAGAACGCAGCGAAAUGCGAUAAGUAAUGUGAAUUGCAGAAUUCAGUGAAUCAUCGAAUCUUUGAACGCACAUUGCGCCCACUAGUAUUCUGGUGGGCAUGCCUGUUCGAGCGUCAUUUCAACCCUCAAGCCUGGCUUGGUGUUGGGGCUCUGCGCACCGCAGUCCCUUAAAUUCAGUGGCGGACACGCUAGGUCUCCGAGCGCAGUAGUUUCUUCUCGCUUCGGGCGUCCGGCGUGGGCUGGCCUCGCACCCAACUUCUCAAGGUUGACCUCGGAUCAGGUAGGAAUACCCGCUGAACUUAAGCAUAUCAAUAA
rnacentral:rRNA from 1 species